CCGCUCACAGACGAGCGUUUACUGUUAUAGGAGCUUUGUACUCCCUAAUAGGAGAGUCUGGAGAUGAUUUCAGCUCCCAUGAGGUACACACCGGGAAGCCCUCUGCAGAUAGCUCUACAUCUCAGGAGGAACUACAAAAAUACUGCUAAGGAAAAGGAUGACUGAAAUUCUGUGCCUAGCUUGUUGCCACUGUGACUCAACUUCAGAUAAACAAAAGAAGAUGGCUGGAUGGACAGAAGAACGGAUGGGUUUUUGCUCUAGGACGUUUGGGAGUACAGCCAGUACUUGGUCAUGGCACCACUUGUAUCUGCCUUGGUUAAGAGCAGACAUGUACCCUAAUAAGAUAUGUACCAGGGUCCCUGUAGAACUUGGACAUUAGGUCAUCUCUCAUGCCCCUGCUGUGCAGAUGUGGAAUGGCUCCAGAAGUCAACCCAAGUGUCAAAGAGCCCAAAUGCAGACUCGGAAAAGGACAAUGGGAUCAAACUUAACUGGAUUUUAUUUACUAAACACUAAACACAAAUUGUGGGUGGUGCGUGGAACUCGAACAAGGGUCAGGAAUUGUGUGCGUCAUGGAACUUGCACAAGGGUCUUUUGCCUUCAAGUGGAGGGUGCCUAGGAAAAAGCAAUACUGGGCGGGUGAGUGUCCAGACAGAUGAGAGUGAGUCCAGAAUCCAACCUGAAUGGUCCAGUGAACGGGAAUCCAGUGGCAGGAGGGCAGGCAAGUGAGGAAUGGUGAUCCUGUGAUUAUGAACCAGCGGUUAGCGUUUCCAGAGAUGACCAGAGUCCGGGUGAGUGAAAAGAAGUGCGAAUGAUGAGUAUGGUGAAUCCAAGAAGCUACUAGAAACACAAGGAGAACGGGAUAAGUUAGCAUGAACAAGAGAAAUCACAAGAUGCAAAGGAGGCCUAAUACUAACGUAGAUUAGAAGACGAACUGGUGAAGAAAAGUUGCAUGCGCUGGUCUUAAACACUGUUGGCUGAUUAUCCCGGAUCACAGACAGGUGAGCAUGACAGGCGUGUGGAUGAGGGCUCCGCCCAGAGGUGGAACUCAGAAACGUGGAAAAAAUGCAGCUACUCUCCUGGACCAUGACACCAAGUCACCUUCCUCUUGGGGUGGACCCAUGUUGCCCCGGAGCCCUGGGAGGUAAGCUUGACUGCUCUUUACUCUAUGUUUCUCAUUUCUGCCUCGAUCAUGGUUUUCCUCUUUGUUAAGUUAAGCUUUUCCAGACUUUUGGAAGCAUGUGAUGCCCAGACUUUGUCAUCCUGUACAGGCUGCUAAAAUAAAGUUGGCUAUUAAAGAUUCCUUUUUCUUGGACCAGUGAUUUAGAGUCCUUCCACUCUUGUCCUGAUGUAGUUUUUAACCUACUUCUCUGACCUUGUUGUCUAUUGAAUCUCUGAAGAUGAAGGCAACCCUGCAUUUGUCACUUUGAACUCUGCAAUGAGAGAUGACAGAGUAGUUGUAGUUGCCCAGGUCGGAUGUAGAGCCCGACUGGAGUAAAACUUGGAGCCAGUUUCUUAGGUGCUCAAUGAUCUUUCAUUCCACUCCUUCCACUACUGUAAGUGGGACUUCAUACGCUAUGACCAACCACAUCAACCUUGGAAGCAAGCCUCGUUGGUACAGCCAUGUCUAAAACUUCCCCAGGAGCCCAGAUUUAUCAGUAGUCUUCAACCACCCCUAUGCUUUCUCUUCAGUGUUGUGGAUGUUGCUGCUGUCCCUUAGUCAUCGUCAUCGUAGUCUGUGUUGCCACCUCAUCAAGCUUAGUUAGGACCCAUUUUGAAUGCACAUUGGAAGAUGUUGUGAUUAUAAGGUCAUCCACGAAGUCUUUUAUCGCUGGUUAUCAGAUGCUUCAGUUCUUCACAGAGUCUCUGGUUACAUUUUCCGCUACUGUCAUUAUGAGGUUCAUACCAGGAUGAUAGGAUGGGGGAGACUGCACAACCAGUGACAAUCGUUUUCUCGUGGUGCUGCCACUGGGUGAUGUAGUUUUUGGUCUUGAAGCGUAGCUUGACCCCUCGCAGGUAGCUGCAGAUCAUUCCCUUGAUGCGGUCUGGGAUCUGGUAAUACUUUAUGGCUAUUCUGACGAGAUUGUGAGGAAUGUCUACAAAGUCCAGCCAAGUCCAGCCAGACUACUGUCAGAUUGCUUUUCUUUGACCUGGCUUCAUGUGUCAUCUGGCCUCGGACUCCUCUGUGUUCCAGGCAUCCCGUGAAGCAUGGAAUCCCUUCCUUUUGGAUCAAGGUGUUCACAUAUCCAUUUUCCAUCAUGUAUGGAGUCAUUCUCCUCUCCAAUAUUCAAGGCUGAGCAGGAUAAUGGUUCUAAAUUGGCUUAUGCUUUGUUAGCUGUUUUAUGCUUCCCAUUAACAUAUUUUUGAGUCUCUUUCUUUAAAAAAUUGAGCUUUUCAAAAACAGUAAGGAAGGUUUAUUUCAAAGUGUGAACAAAGUGUGUGGAAACUUAACAAUGUUUAGACAAUGCAUACAUCAUCAUUUUACAGAAAACGUCUUCACAACAUUACAGAAUUUUCCGAGAUGGCGAUAAACUUUGACAUUUAGAGAAAAAGGAAUUGGGGCAGGGAAGUGUUCAUGUGUGUGUGUUGUGUGUGUGUUUGUGGUGGCGGGGGUGGGACGAGGCAUGUUUUUCCUCAAAGACUUUAAGCUAUGUGGUUCAGGUUCAGAUUCAGGAAGUGAAAAUUUAGAGGGUUGUUGGUGUGUGUGUGUGUGGGUGUGUGUGUGUGUGUGUAGUCUGAUUGGUGCUGACAGGGAAGUAUGAGGUGCACAGGGAUGUGGAGGGGGGAUGACUGAGACAUAAAGAGGAAAGAGGAAAAUGAUGAGGAAAUCAAACAGGAUAUAUCGUCUGCACUGCAGAAUCGGACGUUUUUUUCCAUUUGAAAACAUAAAUGUUUGGUUCCAAUUAAAAACGCUGCGAUCGCUGCAGUAAAGUGCUGAGGAGAAACCAAUGUGGUCCAUCCACAAAAACUACUUAUAAACAAGAGUGGGAGUGCAGAAACCCACGGCUAGAAAUACACACUGUUUGCAUUGUAGCAAGGAAUAUUACGGAAACCAGCAGCGUAUGAGAGAAUGGAAGGAGUUAUAUUUCCAGAAGGAUAUAAAAGUAAAACAAACCCAAUACUAAGAGCUUUUAGAAAUUAAACUAAACUCUUAAAUGUAGCUUUCAGUAUGACACCAUUCACCUCUCUUUUGCAGUCAGACACCAAAUAACCAGAACUUUCUUUUUUCUUUUCUUUUUUUUCCGAGGUUAACCUGGAACGACUCCCUUGAAAAUUGAUGUUGGAUCUUUUCCAUGUUUCUGCAGAGUUCUGCUUUCGGUGUCACACAACUGAUUUAAUAUCUGGCUUUUAUAAAUUCACUGUAAUAAAAAUGAAGCCACAAAAGGGUAAAAGGACAGACUACAGCAAUGACUCUCAGUCGUUUUUGUCAGACCCAUGCAUACCCACAGUGCCCAGAUGAGCUCUGGUAACCCUUUCACUGAUUGCCUUUGUUAUAAAUAAUUUUAUACAAUAAAGGCUCCAUUUUUAGGGCCAGUUUGUUAAAAUCUGACCCUGAUACUACAAUAUGAAAGCAUUCUGUGGGUGAUGAAGUCAUUUAUCCAUUGCAUAAAUGGAUAAAUGACAUUAAUUUCCUUUUCAAUUUAUACUUAAUUUUAGCUAUUUAACACUCACAGCUAAUAUAGCCCAUUGGUAUUUACCCUCUACUGUGAAUCCAGAACUUUCAGUUCACUAUUUCUUACUUUUAGGUAUCUGUUUUAACCAUUUACUAACUGGUUAAAAUACAUAACUGAUAAAUGUGAAGUAACAUAUGUGGUUGCUUUUGUUCAUAUUUCUGCUGUCGUGGGUCCUUUAGCUUAGCUCUUAGCAGCAGCCUCAUCGCUGCUCUUUCUUGUUUUAACUUUGUCCCGAUGCUUCUUUCCUUUUGAUUUAAACUUUCGUGGGCUCUUCGUUUCAGUACCAGCUAACUUUUUGAACCUAUUAGCAUUUAACUUAUGUAUUAGAUUAGUUAGGACUUGCAUGGUGGUGCAGAGGUUAGCACUGUUACCUUACAACAAGAAACCUCUGGGUCUGAAUCUGCCAGGAGGCUGGUGUGCCUGAUAUCCCUGUGUUGGUGUUCUCACUGCAUUAUUAUAAUGAUGUCAGUCCAGUAUCAAAAUUGCAACUGACCAAUCACAUUGUUGUGAUCGCAUAACUUUAAAAUAUGGAGAAAAAAAGUAAAACCUUACCUUUGUUAAUAUAAACCUGUCUUCUAGAACAAAUGGUCAGCAUUUCAAGUGUUUUCUUUGUUCAUUUAUAAAAUAUAAUAAACAUAUUAUCAGGUUAGUUUUGCUGUUAGCCAAAUUUAGUUUAUUUAUCUUGGUUUGCUAACUUAGCUAACUUCUUGGCUAAUGCUAACUGAAUGUUAACUAACACAGACAACGUCACUGGUCGGGUGCAAUGCUGAUCAUGAGCCAGCGUUAUUAUGAUCAUGUAGGAACAACACCAACACGAGGAUAUCAGAGCGUGCCUGGGGCUUUUCUGUGUGGAGAGAGGUGUCCAAGGUGUGCAUCUCCUCUCACAGCACUCCUACAAUGCCAGACUUGGUAAGAAAAUGGCUUUCUGUGACCUCUCUGAAACUGCAGUUAUAUCCUGGUAUACAAGAAUCUCUGGUUGGGCGUCACUGGUCUGCAAUCAGCAGCGCCAAUAUUGCACACUGUUUACCACAUUAAGAGGGCUGAUUAGCACAAGGGUUUAAUAAUCUAUUUUGUAACUUGGAGAUGACUUUGUGAAGCUCCGCGUGUUCAGGUGCAGCAUCUUCAAUAAAAGUAGAAAAUGUUUUACUAACAUGAGCAGGUUCCUUUGAGAGGUGUGAAUAUCCAUGACAGAGGAUUUCUCAAAGUAUUUGGAUCUCCUUCUAAGAGGUUUCAGUCAGAUUUAAAGGAAAUCACUAAGUGUAAUAAGAUUAUCUGUUGAUAACUUGGGUUUUAGUCACGCAAAUACAAUUUCUUUGUUAGUGUUUUCGGGGCCACUUAUCUCACCUCUCGCCCUAUGGCAACUGGGAUAGGCUCCAGCACUGCUGUGACCCAGAAUUGGAUUAAUGAAAGCUUUCCAAAUGAUCAUAAAGAACAGAAAAUGCAUAGAUUUCUGCCAAAUAAGAUAACACAGAGUUUGAUGUACAUGAACCGAUCGUGCCUACAUGCGCAGUCGACCAUUAAAGACCCAUCAUCAGCCACAACAAUGAGUGCAAAACAAAAACAUCCAGCUGAGGCUUACAGGAAACGGCUGUUUUUCUAUGAAUUCGCUCAGGGGUGCAUGAAAGCGUGUACCAAUUUCAUGGCAGUGCAUUUCAUUUUUGUGAUUUUCUUUCUGUUAGUUGUUUGUGAAUAACUUACAUAAGCGUCUAUACUUUGCCAACGUGAUGAAAAAAAAGGAAAAUGUAUUAACUUCAUUUAUAAUACAGCUUUAUCUGUAUUUUGGCUGAAUAAUUAACAGUUUUAUCAGGUUAUUUCUUGGAAAAUGGUCAUCAAUCAGGUGAAGAAGAGGGAGUAAGGACAAGCUAUAUUUAAAGCUCUAUGCUUGGUCGGUAUAACUUGCACAACAAAGUAUACAAACAAUCAUUAUAACCUUACAAAAGAUAACAAAUUCACAUCCAUGGUAUUUAAAACACCGCCCAAACCACCUCCUUGAUAAAAUGUAAAAUGUGUGUAAAAUAUAUCCAAAGUAUUUAAAGAAAAUGCUUGCAUUGAUAUUAUAAAAUCAGUAUAAACAGAAAAAAAUUGAUUUGUAAGAUUUCAUACACACUGACGCUGCAUUGUAUAAAAUAUAUGACAACUCGUGUAGAUGUGCAGAUGUGUUCUCAGCUGUGGAAGUGGAAGGUGCAUGCACAGCUUUACUCAUAGUCUUAUAAAGAGUUUAAGCACAAUUUAUAGCGUAAUACACAGGCUAAGAUGAACAUCCAAGGAAUUUUCUUCUGCUUCUUCUUUUUUAUAUGAAGCCCUUUAUCUACAGAACAGCUCCCAUCACAUCUGUUCCCUCGGCAGACAUUCACUGCGGGCCUUGGUUUUAUUCCAAAAAUCUGCGUUCCAAAACAUCUCUGCAGUCCAGAGGAAAAAAAAAAAUCCACAACAGCUUCCCCAAAUGUCAGGGUUUGUCUUUCAAAUUAACGUCUUUGGGAAGAAGCCGUAGCAUUAAGCGAUGCCUCGACCGCUUAUGACAGUUUCACCAUUUAGAAAACAAUCUUGUCCGCACAAAAACAAGUUAGUUCUCUGAUGAGUCUGUUUACUCGUUAAAAAAAAAAAA